rnacentral:rRNA from 1 species
CAGCAGCCACGGUAAUACGUAGGGUGCGAGCGUUAAUCGGAAUUACUGGGCGUAAAGCGUGCGUAGGCGGUUCGUUAAGUCUGUUGUGAAAGCCCCGGGCUCAACCUGGGAAUGGCAAUGGAUACUGGCGAGCUAGAGUGUGUCAGAGGAUGGUGGAAUUCCCGGUGUAGCGGUGAAAUGCGUAGAGAUCGGGAGGAACAUCAGAGGCGAAGGCGGCCAUCUGGGACAACACUGACGCUGAGGCACGAAAGCGUGGGGAGCAAACAGGAUUAGAUACCCGGGUAGUCCCUGUCUCUUAUAC